rnacentral:rRNA from 1 species
UGGGGAAUAUUGGACAAUGGGGGGAACCCUGAUCCAGCCAUGCCGCGUGUGUGAAGAAGGCCUUAUGGUUGUAAAGCACUUUAAGCGAGGAGGAGGGUACUGGUAUUAAUACUACCAGGUACUGGACGUUACUCGCAGAAUAAGCACCGGCUAACUCUGUGCCAGCAGCCGCGGUAAUACAGAGGGUGCGAGCGUUAAUCGGAUUUACUGGGCGUAAAGCGUGCGUAGGCGGCUAAUUGAGUCGGAUGUGAAAUCCCCGAGCUUAACUUGGGAAUUGCAUUCGAUACUGGUUAGCUAGAGUGUGGGAGAGGAUGGUAGAAUUCCAGGUGUAGCGGUGAAAUGCGUAGAGAUCUGGAGGAAUACCGAUGGCGAAGGCAGCCAUCUGGCCUAACACUGACGCUGAGGUACGAAAGCAUGGGGAGCAAACAAG